rnacentral:rRNA from 1 species
GUCAGCAGCCGCGGUAACACCGGCGGCCCGAGUGGUGAUCGUGAUUAUUGGGUCUAAAGGGUCCGUAGCCGGUUUGGUCAGUCCUCCGGGAAAUCUGAUAGCUCAACUAUUAGGCUUUCGGGGGAUACUGCCAGACUUGGAACCGGGAGAGGUAAGAGGUACUACAGGGGUAGGAGUGAAAUCUUGUAAUCCCUGUGGGACCACCUGUGGCGAAGGCGUCUUACCAGAACGGGUUCGACGGUGAGGGACGAAAGCUGGGGGCACGAACCGGAUUAGAUACCCGGGUAGUCCCAGCCGUAAACGAUGCUCGCUAGGUGUCAGGCAUGGCGCGACCGUGUCUGGUGCCGCAGGGAAGCCGUGAAGCGAGCCACCUGGGAAGUACGGCCGCAAGGCUGAAACUUAAAGGAAUUGGCGGGGGAGCACAACAACGGGUGGAAGCCUGCGGUUUAAUUGGACUCAACGCCGAACAACUCACCGGGGGCGACAGCAAUAUGUAGGCCAAGCUGAAGACUUUGCCUGAAUCGCUGAGAAGAGGUGCAUGG